rnacentral:rRNA from 1 species
GCGAAGAAGUAUUUCGGUAUGUAAAGCUCUAUCAGCAGGGAAGAAAAUGACGGUACCUGAGUAAGAAGCCCCGGCUAACUACGUGCCAGCAGCCGCGGUAAUACGUAGGGGGCAAGCGUUAUCCGGAUUUACUGGGUGUAAAGGGAGCGCAGACGGCGGUGCAAGUCUGAAGUGAAAUUCCACGGCUUAACUGUGGAACUGCUUUGGAAACUGUAUUGCUAGAGUGCUGGAGAGGUAAGCGGAAUUCCCAGUGUAGCGGUGAAAUGCGUAGAUAUUGGGAAGAACACCGGUGGCGAAGGCGGCUUACUGGACAGUAACUGACGUUCAUGCUCGAAGGCGUGGGGAGCAAACAGGAUUAGAUACCCUGGUAGUCCACGCGGUAAACGAUGAAUACUAGGUGUUGG